rnacentral:rRNA from 1 species
AUGCAGCGAACCCUAGCCCCUCUCUCCCCCGCACACCACUCCUCCUCCCUUCCAGAUCACAGCCGCCACCUCCUCCUUUCUAGAUUGCCACCUCCACCUCCCUCCGGACGAGCUCCCCGCCGUCCAUGGCCUCCCCCACUCCCUUCUCCCCCGCGAGCCCUCUCUCUCUCCCUCGCGCGACUCCUCUACUCCACUCGAUUCCAGCGAGUUGAGCCGUUCCUGAUGUAUGUCUCUGUUUUUCUGGAUACAGGGAUUUUCUUUACAGUGCUGGGCGUAGUGAUGUUCAUCCCUGGGUUCUACUACACAAGAAUAGCGUAUUAUGCUUACAAAGGGUACCAGGGCUUCUCUUUUGCCAACAUCCCUCCCAUCUGA